AAGACCCCGCCAGUCCUCCGUUCCCUGGAGCCACGGCCGCCUUCAGUGCGCGCAGCCCCCGGAUAUUAAGGUUCACGCGGGUGCCAGCCAGAGCCAGAAGAAGUGGCGACAGCCCCCACCCAUCAUCUCUCCCCGAGGCAGAGCCAGGGCCACCGAGGCCGAAGUUCGAUUGGAGCGCGAUCGGGGCCCUGCGACGCCAGGACGGACGCCGCGGGAGCGGGGCCGCUGGAGCCCAGUGGCUGCCGGCCCAAGGGAAGACGCACAGGAGUCAUCGCGAGGAGCAAACUUUGGAGCUCUCGGCCUCGGGCCUCGGAGGGGUGAGAGGUUCCGACUGCUCGGUCUCUUUCUUCCGCAAGGCUGGGACCCCUCCACCUUCCGCUCGCCGCGCCGCUGGACUCCGAACCGGGGAUGGUACCCCGGCGACCCAGAUGUGCAAAAUUUCCCCCCAAACUGACCUUGACUGAAACAAAGAGACCAGCAAAAAGGAAGAUAUGGAAUUCAAGAAGCAGAGAAUCCAACACAGGAUAGAGAUGGAGGGAAUUCCAAGGAAAACAGUGAAGGGAAAAAAGGUCCACAUCUGUGCAGCAGACAUGGAGAGCCAUCAGCCCAGGCUGGAGCUGGAGGACAGAGGGCCAGGGGAGAGCUGCCCCCAGGAACAAAAAACACAACAACCCAAGCAAUGAUAGAUUUCCUGAUAAGUUUGACCUUGUGAAAAUUAGGGGAGAUUUGGCUAUGGGUACAAAGAAAGGUAAGUAAAUGAAAAAAUAAGGCACUGAACUCCAGGAAAAAUGAAAAGUUGUACUCUCUCUCCAAAAGGAAUUGUAGUUAUGGUACACUAGCAGCUAUCAGAGAACAAUAUUUAUAUGGUAAUAAUAUGUGAAUUAUUAUUUUAACCAAAAGUUGGUGAUUUGGGUGGGAAUGAGAAGGGAUAGAGAUUUCAGAGGUAAAUAACAAUCUAUCAUAACAGGAAGUUAAUCAUUACCGUUGUGAGAGAGUAGUACUAGUAUAAGCAUGGAAAUACAGAAGUAUAUUCAAAAAGAGACAGAUAAGAAUUGAAAGUAGAUGGUUCUAGGAUACAAAACAGGGUCCUGAAAAUUGGGUUAGGCCCCAUUAAACCCUUGUCCUUGCUAUUUGAACUGUUAGAUUAUAUGCUUAUUUCAAUUCAAUAAAAACAAGAAUUAAGUGUUAAAAAA